CCUGAUGACCAUAGCGAGUCGGUCCCACCCCUUCCCAUCCCGAACAGGACCGUGAAACGACUCUACGACGAUGAUAGUGCGGAUUCCCGUGUGAAAGUAGGUAAUCGUCAGGC
rnacentral:rRNA from 1 species